GUCAAGCCACACAUGGCGGGGCAGGGCCGAAACAGUUGCACAUGCAGGAAAGGGUGGGUUUUUGUUUCUUUCUGGAUUUGGCUCACCGACCCCGCCGACUCGAGAACAAACACCUGGGGCUGGAACUUUGUGGAAUUUGCAACGCAGCUGGCCUGGGAGCCCAUGGGGCCGGGGCGGGUACCCGUCCAGACCACGCGCCGCCACGCACGUGAAGUCCCGGCCCGCCAGACCCCGGCCCAGCGCGGGUGGGGCCCUCGCGGCCCAAACUUGUCACAUGCCCAGCGACCACGGACGCACAGGGCCCCCUCCAGUCCCGAGCCCCGGCCCCUGCAAGGGGAGGGCCCCCCCGUGAGGGCCAGGGCCGCGGAUCCGGGCGGGCACCCCUCCCCCGACCCGGCCGCAACAGGUCUGCACCCCGCCUACCCCGGGCGACCCCCGCCGGCGGGGCCCGCAGACCGUCGACUCGUCCUGGGCGGGGGCUCCGGACUUCUUGACAGUUUCUGCGCCUCGGAAAGUGAGCCCACGCGGGGUGCCAAUCCUUUAAAUUAUGGGAAAGCAGCGGAAAGCUUCACUACAAACCAGGGCCAAGUGUGGCCAGAUUUUAUAACCAGCCUCCGCUAACCGACAAUGCAAGGGAGCUCAAAAUCCAUUUUGGCUGUUUGAUAAUGCCCGAAUGAUGUGCAUCCUUCUUCUUUCAUCUAAGGAAUCAACUGCUCUUAUCCUAGACUCAUAGGACCCCCAAAGAUGUUGUAAGACCCAAGACUGGAAAUGACAGUCCCACAUUUAUUGCUCUGGACGCCUGGGCCAAUAUUUCCAUGAGUGGCCUGGUCAGAAAGUCCUGAUCUUCCAAGAAUUGACGCAUACCUCCAGGAUCCACCUGCCUUGCUGUUAAAUUACAAUCUUACCUCCUGUCUCUUUCCUACUCCAUUUUACCAACCAGGAGAAGUUUGGAGAAUCCUCAGAUCCCUGGCCCACUUAUUGUGUAAUAUACCUGGAAGGUCAGAGGGUGCAAUGGGUCACCAGGGCAAAUGCAAAAAGCAAAGCAAAGUCGGAAAUUGCUUUAAAAGGUAAUGGUAUUCACUGUUUGCUGCACACAAAGUCCCUCUCAUUAUAAAGAAAUUAUUCAUGUCUGUUUCCUGGGCAGCAACUCCAGAAGAGUGCAUAGGCUGGAUUCACAAAAAGUUUAAUUCUGCAGAUUCAGAGAGCUUACUUCUGGCCCUUCCUUCCUUGCCAGCAAUCUAAGACCAGAUGCUAUCUGGUCAUGAAAACUUUAACCCCUGGAACUAGUAACAAACAGGCCCAAGCUUAACCCAUCAUAGAUCCCAUAUCAGGGUUACCUUUGAGCUUGGACAAACAGGUCACUGUUCACCUUUGUGUGCUGAGAUCCAGUGAUGAUGAAGAAUGACUAGCUGUGACAGUUACUUUUAAGGAUUCUGUAUAGAUAAAAUUGAAUAUACUGUUGAAAUCAAUAUUUUAUCUGGAUUAUA